GAGGCUAUAUACAGGUGGUACUGGUACAGAGUCAAUGUGGAGGCUAUAUACAGGGGUUACGGUACAGAGUCAAUGUGGAGGCUAUAUACAGGGGGUACCGGUACAGAGUCAAUGUGGAGGCUAUAUACAGGGGGUACCGGUACAGAGUCAAUGUGGAGGCUAUAUACAGGGGGUACCGGUACAGAGUCAAUGUGGAGGCUAUAUACAUGGUGUUACGGUACAGAGUCAAUGUGGAGGCUAUAUACAGGGUGUAUCGGUACAGAGUCAAUGUGGAGGCUAUAUACAGGGGUACCGGUACAGAGUCAAUGUGGAGGCUAUAUACAGGGGGUACCGGUACAGAGUCAAUGUGGAGGCUAUAUACAAGGGGUACAGGUACAGAGUCAAUGUGGAGGCUAUAUACAGGGGGUACUGGUACAGAGUCAAUGUGGAGGCUAUAUACAGGGGUACCGGUACAGAGUCAAUGUGGAGGCUAUAUACAGGGGGGUACCGGUACAGAGUCAAUGUGGAGGCUAUAUACAGAGUGUUACGGUACAGAGUCAAUGUGGAGGCUGUAUACAGGGGGUACCGGUACAGAGUCAAUGUGGAGGCUAUAUACAGAGUGUUACGGUACAGAGUCAAUGUGGAGGCUGUAUACAGGG
ensembl:lncRNA